CCUACGGGUGGCAGCAGUGGGGAAUAUUGCACAAUGGGCGAAAGCCUGAUGCAGCAACGCCGCGUGAGCGAUGCAGGCCUUCGGGUCGUAAAGCUCUGUCCUCAAGGAAGAUAAUGACGGUACUUGAGGAGGAAGCCCCGGCUAACUACGUGCCAGCAGCCGCGGUAAUACGUAGGGGGCUAGCGUUAUCCGGAUUUAUUGGGUGUAAAGGGUGCGUAGACGGAGAAGCAAGUUAGUUGUGAGAUCCCUCGGCUUAACUGAGGAACUGCAACUAAAACUACUUCCCUUGAGUACUGGAGAGGAAAGUGGAAUUCCUAGUGUAGCGGUGAAAUGCGUAGAUAUUAGGAGGAACACCAGUGGCGAAGGCGACUUUCUGGACAGUAACUGACGUUGAGGCACGAAAGUGUGGGGAGCAAACAGGAUUAGAUACCCCGGUAGUC
rnacentral:rRNA from 1 species